rnacentral:tRNA from 1 species
GGCGCAGUGGCAGAGUGGUCUAAUGCGAUAGACUAGAACAUUUCUUCGGAAGUCUCUAGCUCAUCUAUUCCCUUCGGGGGCGUCUGUUCGAAUCAGGCCUGCGUCG